rnacentral:rRNA from 2 species
GCAUGGAGCCGACCUUGAAAUACCACCCUUUAAUGUUUGAUGUUCUAACGUGGACCCGUAAUCCGGGUUGCGGACAGUGUCUGGUGGGUAGUUUGACUGGGGCGGUCUCCUCCUAAAGAGUAACGGAGGAGCACGAAGGUUGGCUAAUCCUGGUCGGACAUCAGGAGGUUAGUGCAAUGGCAUAAGCCAGCUUGACUGCGAGCGUGACGGCGCGAGCAGGUGCGAAAGCAGGUCAUAGUGAUCCGGUGGUUCUGAAUGGAAGGGCCAUCGCUCAACGGAUAAAAGGUACUCCGGGGAUAACAGGCUGAUACCGCCCAAGAGUUCAUAUCGACGGCGGUGUUUGGCACCUCGAUGUCGGCUCAUCACAUCCUGGGGCUGAAGUAGGUCCCAAGGGUAUGGCUGUUCGCCAUUUAAAGUGGUACGCGAGCUGGGUUUAGAACGUCGUGAGACAGUUCGGUCCCUAUCUGCCGUGGGCGCUGGAGAACUGAGGGGGGCUGCUCCUAGUACGAGAGGACCGGAGUGGACGCAUCACUGGUGUUCGGGUUGUCAUGCCAAUGGCACUGCCCGGUAGCUAAAUGCGGAAGAGAUAAGUGCUGAAAGCAUCUAAGCACGAAACUUGCCCCGAGAUGAGUUCUCCCUGAGACUUAG